rnacentral:rRNA from 1 species
GAGUUUGAUUAUGGCUCAGGACAAACGCUGGCGGCGUGCAUAACACAUGCAAGUCGAACGAAAUCUACAUGAUUUAGUGGCGAACGGGUGAGUAACACGUGAGAAACCUGCCUUACACAGAGGGAUAGCCGUUGGAAACGACGAUUAAUACCUCAUGACACCGUGACAUCGCAUGAUGAUGCGGUCAAAGAUUUAUCGGUGUAAGAUGGUCUCGCGCCUGAUUAGCUAGUUGGUGGGGUAACGGCCUACCAAGGCGACGAUCAGUAGCCGAUCUGAGAGGGUGGACGGCCACAUUGGGACUGAGACACGGCCCAAACUCCUACGGGAGGCAGCAGUGGGGAAUUUUGCACAAUGGGGGAAACCCUGAUGCAGCGACGCCGCGUGAACGAAGAAGGCCUUCGGGUUGUAAAGUUCUGUCCUUGGUGAAGAUAAUGACA